rnacentral:rRNA from 1 species
CCUACGGGUGGCAGCAGUGGGGAAUAUUGCACAAUGGAGGGAACUCUGAUGCCGCGACGCCGCGUGAGUGAAGAAGUAAUUCGUUAUGUAAAGCUCUAUCAGCAGGGAAGAAAGUGACGGUACCUGAAAAAGAAGCUCCGGCUAAAUACGUGCCAGCAGCCGCGGUAAUACGUAUGGAGCAAGCGUUAUCCGGAUUUACUGGGUGUAAGGGGACAGUAGGUGGCAGAGCAAGUCCGAAGGAAAAACCCAAAGCUCAACUGUGGGAUUGCUUUAGAAACUGCUCAGCAGGAGGGCAGGAGAGGGAAGAUGAAGUCUUGGUGUAGCGGUGAAAUGCGUAGAUAUAAGGAGGAACACAGGUGGCGAAGGCGGUUUGCGGAAUUGAAACGGACGUGGAGGCUAGAAAGCGUGGGGAGAAAACAGGAUGAGACACCGGGGGAGGC